rnacentral:rRNA from 1 species
CAUUGGGACUGAGAUACGGCCCAGACUCCUACGGGAGGCAGCAGUGGGGAAUAUUGCACAAUGGGCGCAAGCCUGAUGCAGCGACGCCGCGUGAGGGAUGGAGGCCUUCGGGUUGUAAACCUCUUUUAUCGGGGAGCAAGCGUGAGUGAGUUUACCCGUUGAAUAAGCACCGGCUAACUACGUGCCAGCAGCCGCGGUAAUACGUAGGGUGCAAGCGUUAUCCGGAAUUAUUGGGCGUAAAGGGCUCGUAGGCGGUUCGUCGCGUCCGGUGUGAAAGUCCAUCGCUUAACGGUGGAUCCGCGCCGGGUACGGGCGGGCUUGAGUGCGGUAGGGGAGACUGGAAUUCCCGGUGUAACGGUGGAAUGUGUAGAUAUCGGGAAGAACACCAAUGGCGAAGGCAGGUCUCUGGGCCGUUACUGACGCUGAGGAGCGAAAGCGUGGGGAGCGAACAGGAUUAGAUACCCUGGUAGUCCACGCCGUAAACGGUGGAUGCUGGAUGUGGGGCCCGUUCCACGGGUUCCGUGUCGGAGCUAACGCGUUAAGCAUCCCGCCUGGGGAGUACGGCCGCAAGGCUAAAACUCAAAGAAAUUGACGGGGGCCCGCACAAGCGGCGGAGCAUGCGGAUUAAUUCGAUGCAACGCGAAGAACCUUACCUGGGCUUGACAUGUUCCCGACGGUCGUAGAGAUACGGCUUCCCUUCGGGGCGGGUUCACAGGUGGUGCAUGGUCGUCGUCAGCUCGUGUCGUGAGAUGUUGGGUUAAGUCCCGCAACGAGCGCAACCCUCGCCCCGUGUUGCCAGCGGAUUAUGCCGGGAACUCACGGGGGACCGCCGGGGUUAACUCGGAGGAAGGUGGGGAUGACGUCAGAUCAUCAUGCCCCUUACGUCCAGGGCUUCACGCAUGCUACAAUGGCCGGUACAACGGGAUGCGACGCGGCGACGCGGAGCGGAUCCCUGAAAACCGGUCUCAGUUCGGAUCGCAGUCUGCAACUCGACUGCGUGAAGGCGGAGUCGCUAGUAAUCGCGAAUCAGCAACGUCGCGGUGAAUGCGUUCCCGGGCCUUGUACACACCGCCCGUCAAGUCAUGAAAGUGGGCAGCACCCGAAGCCGGUGGCCUAACCCCUUGUGGGAUGGAGCCGUCUAAGGUGAGGCUCGUGAUUGGGACUAAGUCGUAACAAGGUAGCCGUACCGGAAGGUGCGGCUG